UACGUAGGGUGCAAGCGUUGUCCGGAAUUAUUGGGCGUAAAGAGCUCGUAGGCGGCUUGUUGCGUCGACCGUGAAAACCCGGGGCUCAACUUCGGGCUUGCGGUCGAUACGGGCGGGCUAGAGUUCGGUAGGGGGAGUCUGGAAUUCCUGGUGUAGCGGUGAAAUGCGCAGAUAUCAGGAGGAACACCGGUGGCGAAGGCGGGACUCUGGGCCGACACGUGACACUGGAGAGACGAAAGCUAGGGGAGCGAAUGGG
rnacentral:rRNA from 1 species